rnacentral:rRNA from 1 species
UACAGAGGUGGCAAGCGUUGUUCGGAAUUACUGGGCGUAAAGGGCGCGUAGGCGGUCCGAUAAGUCCUGUGUGAAAUCCCUCGGCUCAACUGAGGAAUGGCACGGGAAACUGACGGGCUUGAGUUCGGGAGAGGGAAGCGGAAUUCCGGGUGUAGCGGUGAAAUGCGUAGAUAUCCGGAGGAACACCGGUGGCGAAGGCGGCUUCCUGGACCGACACUGACGCUGAGGCGCGAAAGCUAGGGGAGCAAACGGG